rnacentral:rRNA from 1 species
AGUGAACGCUGGCGGUAGGCCUAACACAUGCAAGUCGAACGGCAGCACAGUAAGAGCUUGCUCUUACGGGUGGCGAGUGGCGGACGGGUGAGGAAUACAUCGGAAUCUACUUUUUCGUGGGGGAUAACGUAGGGAAACUUACGCUAAUACCGCAUACGACCUACGGGUGAAAGCAGGGGAUCUUCGGACCUUGCGCGAUUGAAUGAGCCGAUGCCGGAUUAGCUAGUUGGCGGGGUAAAGGCCCACCAAGGCGACGAUCCGUAGCUGGUCUGAGAGGAUGAUCAGCCACACUGGAACUGAGACACGGUCCAGACUCCUACGGGAGGCAGCAGUGGGGAAUAUUGGACAAUGGGCGCAAGCCUGAUCCAGCCAUGCCGCGUGGGUGAAGAAGGCCUUCGGGUUGUAAAGCCCUUUUGUUGGGAAAGAAAAGCAGCGGGUUAAUACCCCGCUGUUCUGACGGUACCCAAAGAAUAAGCACCGGCUAACUUCGUG